GGAAUGUUGGGGCUAGAGUGAGGCAGCUCAACUGCUAGAGUGAGAGGAGCAAAAAAAUUAAUCUUAAAAUCUUUUUUAAAACUGCUGCUGUGUCCGCAGCGUUUGCUCUACAGGUAUGAUUUUACCCUCAAAACGUAGCCAUCGCUGUCCUCUUUCAUCCAAUGUGUUUACUAUUGUCCUAGGUCUUAUGGUUCUUUCAUAAAUGUCACCAAUGCACAGCCUCCUCCCUCCAACUCUUCCAUAGACUCUAAUGUUAAAAUGGCUCAGAAGGUUCGUUUGAAAAUCAGAAGAGCAUGGUGUCUUUCCACUGUCACCACGUCCAUAUAAUAAACUCCACAGGCAUGAAAACUGAGAAUUCAGUAGACUAGAAGCUGCUGUCGCUCACGGUGAAAGAAUUUUGUCAAUACGACUUUUACUUUUCAUUUGGGAACGAUUUGUUUCGGCCUGACUUUUCUGUUCAUUUUAAGCAGCAAAAGUGAGGUGCAUGUCUGUGUACGUGUGUAUGGAGCCAUUGGGUGCGGUCACUAUAGCAACCAGGCUCACACCUGCCUGCUUAACGAGCUCUGCCUGCCACUGUCCAAGAUUCAUCUUAAGCACUUCUCUUUCAACUGCUGCUGUGUCCACAGUGUUACAGCCAUCAUUUUACCCUCAAAUUGUCGCCAUUAUUGUUCUCUUUCCAACACCGUGUCUUUCAAAGCUCAGGCAUUUAAACCUUUUAAACUGUGUGGAUCAAAGUGGAGGGAUCACAUUUGAGUCAUUCAGUGAUUCAAAGAAUAUGACCUUUUAAUAUUCAUUCAGAUGUUUUCUGACUCUAAAUGUUCUUUUCUCAUUUCUUAGGGUUUUCUAAUUUACAUUUAAAACAUUUUCAGUUUUUUUCCAACUCCUUCUUCUGUGUAACCUUCAGCUUUUAGCAGUUCAGCACCUUUGUUUUCAGGUUAAAUUCGGGGUUUUUUUUGGUUUUUUUUUAAUCUCAUUCAAUAUUUUUAACUCAAAAUUCAGCAAUUAAUUCAUUUCAGUGCAUACAUUCAGAUUCAAGCAUUCACACUGCAGUUUCUUCAGAAAAUGCACUUUCUAGUUAUUAUAUCAUCUUCCGUACGUUUUUUGGCAUCUAACUCCUUCAAAACCGUUCAACUUAGAAAAACCAUUCAAACACCGUUAGAUUCCUAUUAUUUUGGACAUGACUGCUUCUAUUUUUCUCAUUUCUAACAUUUAUAUUUUUAAUUUUAUUCAACUUUAUUCAACAAAAAUUUCCCAUGUAUUUCAAUGGGGAGACCCUUCAAAUUCUCAUUCAACUUACUCAUUUUUAAACUCUUACUACUUCCACAUACAUUGACAUAGAGCCACCAUUCAAACUUUAAAACGAAGACAAGACAUUCAACUAUUCAACUUGUAUUUAUCUUUUCAAUAUCUAUUAUACUUUUUCUUCAGUUCCAGUUUAAGUUUCAUGAUGUUUUUUCAGCCGUUUCAGAGUUUAUAAUGGGUGUGUAUGGGACGGAAUGUUGGGGCUAGAGUGAGGCAGCUCAACUGCUAGAGUGAGAGGAGCAAAAAAAUUAAUCUUAAAAUCUUUUUUAAAACUGCUGCUGUGUCCGCAGCGUUUGCUCUACAGGUAUGAUUUUACCCUCAAAACGUAGCCAUGGCUGUCCUCUUUCAUCCAAUGUGUUUACUAUUGUCCUAGGUGUUACGGUUCUUUCAUAAAUGUCACCAAUGCACAGCCUCCUCCUUCCAACUCUUCCAUAGACUCUAAUGUUAAAAUGGCUCAGAAGGUUCGUUUGAAAAUCAGAAGAGCAUGGUGUCUUUACACUGUCACCACGUCCAUAUAAUAAACUCCACAGGCAUGAAAACUGAGAAUUCAGUAGACUAGAAGCUGCUGUCGCUCACGGUGAAAGAAUUUCGUCAAUACGACUUGUACUUUUCAUAUGGGAACGAUUUGUUUCGGCCUGACUUUUCUGUUCAUUUUAAGGAGCAAAAGUGAGGCGCAUGUCUGUGUACGUGUGUAUGGAGCCAUUGGGUGCGGUCACUAUAGCAACCAGGCUCACACCUGCCUGCUUAACGAGCUCUGCCUGCCACUGUACCAAGAUUCAUCUUAAGCACUUCUCUUUCAACUGCUGCUGUGUCCACAGUGUUACAGCCAUCAUUUUACCCUUUUCAAAGCUCAGGCAUUUAAACUUUUUAAACUGUGUGGAUCAAAGUGGAGGGAUCACAUUUGAGUCAUUCAGUGAUUCAAAGAAUAUGAACUUUUAAUAUUCAUUCAGAUGUUUUCUGACUCUAAAUGUUCUUUUCUCAUUUCUUAGGGUUUUCUAAUUUACAUUUAAAACAUUUUCAGUUUUUUUCCAACUUCUUCUUCUGUGUAACGUCCAGCUUUUAGCAGUUCAGCACCUUUGUUUUCAGGUUAAAUUCAUUUUUUUUUUUUUGUUUUUUUAUCUCAUUCAAUAUUUUUAACUCAAAAUUCAGCAAUUAAUUCAUUUCAGUGCAUACAUUCAGAUUCAAGCAUUCACACUGCAGUUUCUUCAGAAAAUGCACUUUCUAGUUAUUAUUAGUGUGAAUGCUUGAAAAGCAUUCACAGUAUUGUUAUUCUAAUCUUUAUUAGUGUGAAUGCUUGAAAAGCAUUCACAGUAUUGUUCUUCUAAUCUUUAUUCUAUUUUAUUAUUAUUCUGUAUUCCGUACGUUUUUUUGUAAUCUAUCUCCUUCAAAACCGUUCAACUUAGAAAAACCAUUCAAACACCGUUAGAUUCCUAUUCUUUUGGACAACAUUGCUUCUAUUUUUCUCAUUUUUAACAUUUAUAUUUUUAAUUUUAUUCAACUUUUUUCAACAAAAAUUUAUAAUGUAUUUCAAUGGGGAGACCCUUCAAAUUCUCAUUCAACUUCCUCCUCUUUAAACUGUAUCUACUUCCACAUACAUUGACAUAGAGCCACCAUUCAAACUUUAAAACGAAGACAAGACAUUCAACUAUUCAACUUGUAUUUAUCUUUUCAAUAUCUAUUAUACUUUUUCUUCAGUUCCAGUUUAAGUUUCAUGAUGUUUUUUCACCCGUUUCAAAGUUUAUAAUGGGUGUGUAUGGGACGGAAUGUUGGGGCUAGAG
ensembl:lncRNA